rnacentral:rRNA from 1 species
AUGAACGCUGGCGGCGUGCUUAACACCUGCAAGUCGAACGGAACUACUCCAAUGAGAGUCUUCGGAAAGGAUUUGGUUUAGUUUAGUGGCGGACGGGUGAGUAACGCGUGGGUAACCUGCCCUAUACAGGGGGAUAACAGUUGGAAACGACUGUUAAUACCGCAUAAGCGCACAGGAGCGCAUGCUCCGGUGUGAAAAACUCCGGUGGUAUAGGAUGGACCCGCGUCUGAUUAGCUGGUUGGCGGGGUAACGGCCCACCAAGGCGACGAUCAGUAGCCGGCCUGAGAGGGUGAACGGCCACAUUGGGACUGAGACACGGCCCAAACUCCUACGGGAAGCAGCAGUGGGGAAUAUUGCACAAUGGGGGAAACCCUGAUGCAGCGACGCCGCGUGAGCGAAGAAGUAUCUCGGUAUGUAAAGCUCUAUCAGCAGGGAAGAAAAUGACGGUACCUGACUAAGAAGCCCCGGCUAACUACGUG